rnacentral:tRNA from 1 species
AAAUUUUAGGUUAAAAAAACUCUAAACCUUCAAAGUUUAAUAUAUAUUUUAUAAAUAAUAUAAAUUUUAU